rnacentral:sRNA from 1 species
AUCACGCUGCAGGUCACCUUUCCCCCUAGUGCCAUUACUAUCUUGGGAUCUGCAUCCCAGACUGAGAACAAGAACGUGACACUCUCGUGUGUCAGUAAGUCCAGUCGCCCGCGGGUCCUGCUACGAUGGUGGCUGGGCUGGCGGCAGCUGCUGCCCAUGGAGGAGACAGUCAUGGAUGGACUGCAUGGCGGUCACAUCUCCAUGUCUAACCUGACAUUCCUGGCGCGGCGGGAGGACAACGGUCUGACCCUCACAUGUGAGGCCUUCAGUGAAGCCUUCACCAAGGAGACCUUCAAGAAGUCGCUCAUCCUGAACAUAAAAUAUCCCGCCCAGAAACUGUGGAUUGAGGGUCCCCCAGAGGGGCAGAAGCUCCGGGCUGGGACCCGGGUGAGGCUGGUGUGUUUGGCUAUCGGGGGCAACCCAGAGCCCUCCCUCAUGUGGUUCAAGGUUGGUGCCAUGCCAGGGCUAUGGGGGUGGCCAGGAAUGUGGGGGAAGGACCAGGCCCCUUCUCUCCUUCAAAAUCUUGGGCAAUCUUGGAAAAAGAUUAAAUUUCUUGAAAAG